CACACUGGGACUGAGACACGGCCCAGACUCCUACGGGAGGCAGCAGUGGGGAAUUUUGGACAAUGGGGGCAACCCUGAUCCAGCAAUGCCGCGUGUGUGAAGAAGGCCUUCGGGUUGUAAAGCACUUUUGUCCGGGAAGAAAUCGCACCUGAUAAUACCGGGUGUGGAUGACGGUACCGGAAGAAUAAGGACCGGCUAACUACGUGCCAGCCGCCGCCGUAACAC
rnacentral:rRNA from 1 species